CCUACGGGAGGCAGCAGUCGAGGAUCUUCGGCAAUGGACGAAAGUCUGACCGAGCAACGCCGCGUGUGCGAUGAAGGCCUUCGGGUUGUAAAGCACUGUCGAGGGGAAACAAGCCGUAAGGUUGAGUGACCCCUGGAGGAAGCACGGGCUAAGUUCGUGCCAGCAGCCGCGGUAAGACGAACCGUGCAAACGUUAUUCGGAAUCACUGGGCUUAAAGGGCGCGUAGGCGGGCAAUAUAGUCAAUGGUGAAAUCCUCCAGCUCAACUGGAGAAGUGCCUUUGAAACUGAUUGUCUAGAGAGAGGUAGAGGCAUGUGGAACUUCCGGUGGAGCGGUGAAAUGCGUAGAUAUCGGAAGGAACGCCAGUGGCGAAAGCGAUGUGCUGGACCUUUCUGACGCUGAGGCGCGAAAGCUAGGGGAUCAAACGGGAUUAGAUACCCCGGUAGUCCUAGCCCUAAACUAUGGGUACUAGAUUGUGGACUUUCAUGGGUUCACAGUCGAAGCAAAAGUGUUAAGUACCCGCCUGGGGAGUAUGGUCGNGAGCAGAACNCGAAGGUAAUUGACGNNGAGAGUUGCGAGCGACGACGAGGGAGAGG
rnacentral:rRNA from 1 species